rnacentral:lncRNA from 1 species
GCAGCAGGCACAGUAGAAGUAACCACUUCAGAGAUAACAGUCCUUGCGGGAGGAGUUGCAGGAGUUGGAUAAGCUUGGCUCUGGGCAACAAGAACUGACUCCAUCAUGGCAGUCAUUCGGGCAACCUCCUCCUUCAAAUCUCGGAUCUCUUGCUCAAAGUGUUCCAUGAUCUUUGAAUGAUUGGCUCGAGUGUUGUACUGGUGAGUCAGCUUGGCUA